AUGCAGAUGUGCGGAGGGAGGUGAGCUCAGGCGAGGAGCGCUUCCGAGGGAUUUGCAGAUCUGACGAGAAGGAUUUCCCCCUUCCUUCCCCGUCAUCCCCCAUCUCCUCCU